ensembl:lncRNA
CUUGUUAGGGCUGAGACCGUUGCACACGUUCCUUCCCAACUUUUACAGCUUUUUGUGCGUGUAACGGGGGUGGGAGUAGUUAGAAAGAGUAAGGCUGGUUUUGGUUUUGUCUCUUUUUAAAAUUAGUAUAUGUUUGUGAUACAUCAUAAAUGAAUUCAUUGGGGGGUAGUUAUAUAUUUUUUAAAUAAAGUGUUUUUAUCUAUCAAAAAAAGAAAACUGUGAGGGGUCCAGGGAUUUAGCUCCGUGGUGUCGCAUCUGUCCCCCAAGUGGAAGCUCCUGAGUUUGAUCCCCAUACAAAAAAGAAACAAAGAAACCUGUAGCUCUUCAAAAUGUUGGAAGACAAAUAUUCCCUGUAAAGGGAGAGCUCAGCAGGUGUGUGAAGCCCUCCGGAAAAUCAGGAGGAGAAUCCCCUGUGUGGGGCUGUGGUGGGAGGGCCUUCUCAGCAGGGUGGGCCUGUGGGUCACACAGAACAUGGAAUUUUUCUUCCUUCUGUCCUCUGGGCACACGGAGAUGACCUCAGCUCCCAUUGUGUGCCAUCAUGAGGCCAAGUCUUCCGAUCCACAGAGAUGCUGAGCUCGUGCGCUUUGCCAGAAAUAGACAGUUGGGGCUACAGGCUCUAAUCUGGGCUGGCUGGUUGGUAUUUUCCUGAUUGAAAAUGGAAAUACCCACUCAUGAAAUGGACGCAGAGGUCUGUGGACCUGAGAACAACGAUGAAGGAACUAUUUCAAUGUGGAUUUUCAUAUCGCAUGACAGACAUCUCCAAGAGGACAAGAAAGCUGAGCCUGAGCAUUCAGGCCCACACAGAGGACACUGAAACGAAUUUCUUCCGAGGAAGUUUGAGAAAGAGCAGAACCCAGACCAUGGUGGAGACACCCGACGAGCGCUGCCUCCUGAGACACCAGCACUGGGGCUGGCGCCCCCAGGCCUCUCUCAUCUCCUCCCCUGCUGCAGAGGAUGGAGGGGCUUCCAUGCAAAUCCGCAUCCUGCACCUGCCUCUCCUCAGCUACUCCAACUUGCCCUGAACUCCGGAUCCUUCUCCACCCCGCUACUGAAUCAUCAGCUGAUGGAAUCCAGACCCUCUGUCGUGGAUUUUCUGAGGAACAGGCACCUGAGUCCUUUUUUCUUGGUUUGCACAGGAGAGAUGACCUGUUGAAGUCCCUCAUGUCAGUGAACUGCUAGCCAUUAUUGUCCCUACCGUGCUGUCACCUUGUCUCUGAGACUCUCCGGGCCUGCAGUACACCCUGCAGUGCCCACUGAAGGUCCCCCUACAAGACCUGGACUCUUAGGGAAAAGCCUGGCCACCCCAGAAACACUCGCUGUGCUUGUUGGUGCUGCGGUCCUGUUGGCUGCAGCCUUGUUCCUGUCCCACCCCUACACGCUGUGCUCCAACAUCUGUGCCACCGAGUCCCAGGAGCGUGGCAGACCCUGGCACAGGCUCCGUGCCAUAAACAGGAAACAUGAAGAAAACCCUUGAAAGUGGUUAGAGCAAAUGCCAUGUUAAAUGUAGGGGAAUAUCGAGGUAAAGGUCUGUGACUUCUCCUCAGAAAAUAUACCAGCCAGAAGUGGUUGAAAGGGUAUUUUUCGGUGCCGAAUGAUCAAUGCAGAGGACUGACUGUAUGUGCCAUAGGUAUCCUUAAGGAUGGAGGGCCAAACAAAAUAAAUACAAAGAUGGAUGGGGGUGAAAGAAAACUCGGACAGUUCAUCGCUAGAAAACGUGCUCUAAAAAUAUGUGAAAGGAAUUUCAUCAGGGUGAAGGUGAACAACAUGAGAGGAAAGGACAUAACUUCGAGGAGAAAAAGAAGAGCAAACAAUGCAACAAAUUAUCAUUGCCAUUUCACCUGUGGAUGAGUCAACAUCUCCAAGUGGUACAAUACUCCUCCUGGCUUCUGGAAAACAAGGAUUCCAUGUCCCGAGUGCUCCUGUGAGUAGUUUCCCAGCCAAGCUUGGUCCCUUCGUGUCUCCCUGGAAGAGAACCUUCCCCAAGAACCCAUCGGGCUGGGACCCUCACCAUACCUGACCAGCACCCUGGGCAGGCGCACCCCAUCCAGCCUCCCAUGCAUGGAUCGACUUGCCAGUCG